rnacentral:rRNA from 1 species
UACGGAGGGUGCAAGCGUUAUCCGGAUUUACUGGGCGUAAAGGGUGCGUAGGCGGUCGGGUAAGUCUGACGUGAAAUCUUCAAGCUCAACUUGGAAACUGCGUCGGAUACUAUUCGGCUAGAGGAAUGGAGGGGAGACUGGAAUACUUGGUGUAGCAGUGAAAUGCGUAGAUAUCAAGUGGAACACCAGUGGCGAAGGCGAGUCUCUGGACAUUUCCUGACGCUGAGGCACGAAAGCCAGGGGAGCAAACGGG